rnacentral:misc_RNA from 1 species
GGAAAUAUUUCAUAUGCAUUCAACAGCUACUACCAGAUAAACAAUCAGCUUGAUGAUGCUUGCAAGUUCUCUGGCCUCGCAACUGUCACAAAGUCAGAUCCAUCAACUGGUACUUGUCGAUUUGGGCUCAUGAUAGAACCAUACUACGGAGGUGCUCAACCAAAAUAUGGCUAUACUAAGACGACAUUGGCUCUCAUCCUCUUUCUGUGGACAAUUGUGUAACAAUAUUUUUUUCUGGCUAUUUAGUUCGAUUGUUGACCCUGCCUGCCUGCUAUGUAAUGUAGCUAUUACCA